AGAGUUUGAUCCUGGCUCAGAACGAACGCUGGCGGCAGGCCUAACACAUGCAAGUCGAGCGCUGUAGCAAUACAGAGCGGCAGACGGGUGAGUAACGCGUGGGAAUUUACCUAGUGGUGCGGAAUAGCCCAGGGAAACUUGGGGUAAUACCGCAUAAGCCCGAGAGGGGAAAGAUUCAUCGCCACUAGAUGAGCCCGCGUUGGAUUAGCUAGUUGGUGGGGUAACGGCCCACCAAGGCGACGAUCCAUAGCUGGUCUGAGAGGAUGAUCAGCCACACUGGGACUGAGACACGGCCCAGACUCCUACGGGAGGCAGCAGUGGGGAAUAUUGGACAAUGGGCGCAAGCCUGAUCCAGCCAUGCCGCGUGAGUGACGAAGGUCUUCGGAUUGUAAAGCUCUUUUGGCGGGGACGAAGAAUGUGACGGUACCCGAAGAAUAAGCCCCGGCUAACUACGUGCCAGCCGCCGCGGUAAUAC
rnacentral:rRNA from 1 species